AAUACAAACCCCCCCCCCUCACACAAGGAUAUACUCUAUCUCUCUCUCUCUUUCUCUCGUCAACCGCCUCAAUUUCUUGCUCAACUACCCUCCUGCGCUCUCUAUUAUCAAUCAACUAUUUUCCUUUGCGAUGCCGUAGCGCUCUCCGACGCCGGAACUCCUCGCCGCCGGCGGAAUCUCCGGCUUAAUUACCUGGAUUUUAGGUUUUUCGAUUUCGAUUCUUUCUGCCUAUUCGAUUCGAUUGUCCUUUCAGUUUGGGAGCCUCUGGAGGUUUUGUUUCUUUUUUCUCUUCUUAAUUAGUAUAUAGGUUGCGUAGAAUAGAUUUAUAGAUAGAAACGACAUGGCUGGGGGUCGUAAAAAGGGAGGCAACAAGGCCAAAGCCAAGAGUCAGUUGAGUAUGGGGGAUCUUGUUCUCGCCAAAGUCAAGGGCUUUCCUGCCUGGCCUGCCAAGAUUAGUCGACCUGAAGACUGGGAUCGAGCUCCGGACCCUAAGAAAUAUUUUGUUCAAUUCUUUGGAACACAGGAAAUAGCUUUUGUUGCCCCCGCUGACAUUCAGGCAUUCACCAGUGAGUCGAAGAGUAAAUUGUUAGCUCGGUGUCAAGGUAAAACAGUUAAGUACUUUGCUCAAGCAGUGAAGGAAAUUUGUGGUGCAUUUGAAGAGUUAGGGAAGGAAAAAUCAAGUGAAUUGAGAUCUGAGGCCGCCUCUGUGGAUGGGGCAGAUGCUGACUUGAAGGAUGGGGCAGGUUCUGCCAUACCUAAUGGAGAAUCAAAAAAGGAAGAAAUAGGUGAUUUUGGUUCUAAGUUGGAGCCCUGCUCAAAUAGUCGAGGAGAAACUGACAGUGAGGAUAUAAAGCCUUCAAUUUCAUGUAAUCCAGCAGAUGACAUUUCAUCUCCGGUUAUGUCAUCUGAGAAAAAGAUGAAAAUAUCUAAUGGGCCGCAAUCAAAAGAUGAAUUAUCCACAUCUGCUUCAGAUAGUGUUUCUAAUGUAAAGGAGGAAAUUUCUGGUGAUAAAAAAGAAGAUAUUGACCGGGUUAAGCACCCUGUUAAAGGACAGAAGGUAUUUGCAAAUGGUCACAAGUUGAAGAAAAUGGCUUCUGGGUCAAAGAAGAGAUGUGAGGUUGUAGUUGAAGGACAAAGAGGUAGCUCUGCUGUAACAUCACUGAAGGAUGAUUGUUCUGGUAAUAGUGUUGAUCUCCCUCAUUCUGGUGAGCAAUUUAAAGACACAAUAAAAAUGAAAAUUGCAUCUGAUAGUAGCAUGAUGGAAUAUUCUUCUGUUGCUUUGAAGUCAGAUAUGGAUGUUGGUGGUGGAAAAAUAACUAAAGAUGUGCUUAAAUCAAAAAGAAGCUUGAAAGUAUCAGAUGAUGACACUGUUGCUAAUUCCAAGGAUGAGGCUUGUGGAAAUAAAAAAUGUUCCCAACCUGGGACAGCUGGGAAGGUUAAGUUGGGAACAAAUGACAUUUUACAUCCUGCCAAAAAGUCUAAGGCUGUAGAUUUGAAAGAUGAUGCUGUCAAGGCAUCUCUUUCUAAAAGUGUGAAGAGUGGUUUUUCAAGUUCUAAUGCUGAUGACAACAAAGCAUUUAAACAUUCUGACUUAAAACGGUCCUCAUCCCAUGUGAAGACUGAAAUGGUUUUGGCGUUGCAAGCUCAAACAUGUAAAAGUAAAGUUGAAUCUGAUGUUUCUGGUGAUGAAGCUGUGCUGCCUUUAACAAAGCGCCGUAGGCGGGCUUUGGAGGCUAUGUCUGAUUCUGCUACUCUCAAUUCUGAUGAUAAAAUGGGGAAAAAUUCUCAUGAAAUGAAGAAUGAUGUGUCAUGUUUUAACAAUGUUAAACCUCCAGUGCCACAGUCACUCAAAAGACGGAGAGCUGUUUGCCUGUUUGAUGAGGAUGAUGAUGAAGAACCCAAAACUCCAGUUCAUGGAGGAUCUGCCAGAAAUGUGAAAACUCCUUCAUCUGUUUCUGAUAAUUCUAAAAGUUCUGCACAUCAUGAGAUUAAUGUUAAUGCUCAGCAGAAUGCUAGUGCUAAAGAUUCUGUUGGAAUUGAGAAUAUGCCAAAGGAAUCCUUAUUGCAAAUACAUAAUGAGUCUGUGUCACCUUCCCAACCAGAAAAAUCAGAAAGGAUGCCUGAUUCUCAUGUUGCACACAGUCCUGGGAUAGCAGAAUCUGAGCAAUUACCAUUGAAGGAGGCUAAAGCAAUAUUGGUUUCCCCUAAAAGGUCUCCUCACUUGGUUUCCACUACCAGGACAACUGCAGAACAGCAUAAAGCCUCAAAACCUGCGGUCACUAAAAGUUCUGGUCCUAGUACUCAGAAAAAAGUUCAGGCAAUGUCUGGUAAGGGUUUGGUUCUUGCUUCUGAUAGCAUAAACUCUCUUCAAAAUCAAGUUGCUAGUCAAAGAAAUAGGGCAGCCUCUUCUGGAGAUCGACCAAAAACCACUCCAAAAGCAGCUUCACGUAUGAAUGACCGUGCUCUUUUGACAGAAACUGUAAUAGAUCACAGUUCCCUGCCCAUCGAAAUAAUGGAGUCUAGUAGAGAAGAUAGAAGCAGUUCAUUCUUUGAUUCCAAGACUCCAGACUCUGUUAUGUCCAUGAAACAUCUUAUUGCAGCUGCUCAGGCAAAAAGGAAACAAGCUCACUUGCAACAGUUUUCGUUUGGAAAUCCUAAUGCUGCCUUUACUUCAGUUGCUGAGGUCCAGGGGAGGAGCCCUAGCCCCUCUUCUGUUCAGCCUUUUUUGUCUGGCACCAACAAUGUGGUACAGGCAGAUAUACAGGGAUUUAAUAAUCGCACCAGUUUAGCUUCUCCAUCAACUCAUGGUCAUCUGUCAGCGACCCGUAGUCAACUAGAUUCUGAAGAAAUCGAGGAAAGAAGAGUUAGUUCAGGUCACAGAGCUGGUGGAGGCUCAUUGAGUGGUGGUACUGAGGCAGCUGUUGCUCGUGAUGCAUUUGAAGGAAUGAUAGAAACUUUGUCAAGGACUAAAGAAAGUAUUGGACGUGCAACUCGUCUUGCCAUUGAUUGUGCCAAGUAUGGUAUUGCUAAUGAGGUUGUGGAACUUCUUAUCCGGAAGUUGGAAAGCGAGCCUAGUUAUCAUCGUAAAGUGGACUUAUUCUUUCUUGUGGACUCAAUCACUCAGUGUUCACAUAAUCAAAAAGGCAUUGCUGGAGCUUCAUAUAUUCCUGUCGUUCAAUCUGCAUUGCCACGACUUCUUGGUGGUGCUGCUCCACCUGGAAAUGGGGCUCGUGAAAAUCGUCGUCAAUGUCUCAAGGUUUUACGCUUGUGGCUUGAGAGAAAAAUUUUGCCUGAAUCUCUUUUGCGGAAAUGCAUGGAUGACAUUGGAGUUUCAAAUGAUGAGUCAACUUCUGGGUUUUCCCUUAGGCGACCAUCUCGAGCUGAGCGUGCUAUAGAUGAUCCGAUAAGAGAAAUGGAAGGCAUGCUUGUUGAUGAGUAUGGCAGUAAUGCUACAUUUCAGUUGCCUGGCUUUCUAUCUUCCCAUGUGUUUGAGGAUGAUGAAGAAGAUGAUCUUCCAAGCAGUACAUAUAAAGAAGUUGGUGAUACAUCGCCAAUAGAGCAAACACGUGCUUCAGGAGAGUCAGAAACAUGCACUGUUACUCCCAAUGAUAGGCGUCAUUGUAUCUUGGAGGAUGUGGAAGGGGAGCUUGAAAUGGAAGAUGUUUCUGGUCAUCCAAAGGAUGGAAAUGAUUCUUUUGAAAUAGAAUCACAACAUGGCUCGGAUAGGAUCUUGGAGUCGGUUUCAAAUAAUUUCAGUGAGUUACCCCCUUUACCUGAGGGUUCUCCUCCAUUGCCUCCAGAUUCUCCUCCUCCACUCCCGCCCUUGCCUCCAUCACCACCACCACCACCUCCUCCAAUGUCUUCUCCUUCACCUCCACCGCCACCACCUCCUCUUCCAUCACAGCCACCACCACCACCUCCUCCUCCUUUGGGGCCGCCACCAUCUAUGGUACCACAAUCAUCAAUGGUACAAUCACAACCUUCAUUAGUGUCUCAACCGUUACUGCCACCUCAGUCAUCAGUUCAGUCUUCACCUCAGUUGGCAUAUCAACCACCUGUUCCUCGAGAAUAUUGCAACACACCCAGUGGUAAUCAAAUUGUCCAAAUGUCUGGAAAUACUCCUCAUGGUGGUCAUAUUGAUGCUCCUGUGAAAAAUGAAUUAUUUACACAGCAAUCACCUUGCUUUGUACCAACAGGAAUGUGCAGUUCUCGAGAACCUUCUGGAUAUAAUUCUUCAAGGCAGUUGGAAUAUGGUCAUAAUGAUAUAUAUUUAAAUCCCCAAGCUUCUCAACCAAACCAGCAAUUUCAGCAAGGUAAUGCACCAUUUGUGCAAAGACCUCUACAUCCUGCCCUGCCUCAAACCCCUUCCAAUCAUUUCUCAUUUACAAAGCCAGGGAUUCAGCAACAUCCUCAUCAGCAUUACCCCCGCCCAUAUGCAAUGCCAUCACACCCUGAUAACCAAAGGCGAUACGUUGGUGAUGAACAGUGGAGGAUGCCAUCAGGUGAAUUUAAUACAGAGAGUCAGCAUGGUGUGUGGAUGGGUGGGAGGAGAACUCCCCCUCAAUCAGGACCAACAUUUGUCCAAGAAGGUUACUUUCGGCCACCUGUUGAAAGACCACCCACAAAUAAUAUGGGUUUUCAGCUAUCUGCCACGAACAAUUUACCAGCUGCACCUCCAAUACCAGGUCACAGUGUUUCCCAGAUGUUGCCAUGUAGGCCAGACAUGUCAGCGCUUAAUUGCUGGAGACCAGCUUAGGAAUGAACCUAAACCCUUCUUAAGUGCUUAAUGUGUGGAUUGUGAGACAAGUUACAAACUUACAUUAUAUUCUUCUCAAAAGGGGGGUUCAUCUUGUGAACAAAACCAUUUACAGCUUGAAGGCAGUGUUAGAGCUUAUGGAGACUCUUGGCAGGACUGUGUAUAUGUAAUUUUUCCUGACAAAUGUAUCCAGGGAACAUAUGCUUCCAAGUGUAGGCUCAUGUUUCUGACUUGGGAGUUGUUCUGCUCGAAGUAGAUUGGGUCUAAACACUUUCGUAUAUGUGACUUGGUUGGUUGCCCUGAAGAUCAGUACCUUGGACAUGUUAUGAAUUGGGAAUUGCACCAAGGAAUUCAAUUCAGUAGUGUUAUUGGUACAAAGAAAUUGAAGAUACUACCUAAUGCAUUGUUUUUGGCUGCUAGCUUCAGCAUUUUGUAACAGUUACUUAUAAUUGGAUGUUAGAAUAAUGUGGGGGCUUCUUUACCCAGUUGCAAUUUGUGAUCUGUUCUCUUCUAUAAUUGGCAUUGGGUGUGAAGUGGUGAUCAUGGGUUCCUUUUGAGUUCAGGUAGAUGAUAGUUGUGCUUUACUGCAUGUAGGUUUGGGCAUAUCACAAAAGCUGACGUUUCUUAAUUCAUUGUGUUUUUAUCUGGUUUUCCAUUGAAGAAUAAAGUCUGGAUUUCCUGGAAGACAAACUACAUCGAUAUCUGGAGAACUCAGAAUUCUGGAGCUGGUCGGUGCACAAUUUAUUAAUACAGAACUGCAGUAAAAAUGCUGUUUUAGAUAGAGUUAAACAAAGUAUUACAGCUCAAACUUCAAGCACCAAAAUCCUCUACUUUAGUUUGUCAACAGCAAUUGUAUCAGAAAUUAUGGAUACAAAUCUGAUCACAUAGCAUUAGCAGGUAUGGAUUCUGUCUCUAUGACCUAUUGGACUCUCAAAUGUCUCGGCCAGUGGAAAGGCUUCAAGUGACACAUUUGGGGAGGAUAAUACCAGUACCAGUUACCACUUUCAGUUCCAUAUAUUAUUAUGAAGAGAAAAGUAACGAAUUAUAAUGUGAAACAAACAGUAAAUUCACUAAAUUGUAUAUGUAAAUUUUUUUUUAUAUAUAACCAGGUAAUCUAUUAGACUUUC